rnacentral:misc_RNA from 1 species
GUGAAUCAUCGAAUUUUUGAACGCAAAUUGCGCUUCCUGGCAUCCCGGGAAGUAUGCCUGUUUGAGGGUCAGUAUUAAUAAAAAUCGGUUUAGUUACAAAUUGUGACGUUUCCGGAGUUUGGGCUAUCUUAACAUUUUUGGUUAAGAGGCUUAAAUUUAACCUUUUUUCCGCAUUUUUAAACGACCUUAAUUUUUUUUUUUCCUUUUAUUCUUAAUGCCAAAAUCUUAUAAAUUUCAUUCACA